ensembl:lncRNA
GGGGAGGAGAAAAGGAUGCUGGUGCUUUUGAGAGUGGUAGGGACCCACCCACCUGGGACCCCGGUGGUGGCAAGAUCUCUGAAGGAGCAUUAGAGUCUCAGUGAAAGUAGAAAUGCCUGCCUUCUAAUCAACCACAAAAGACUGGACACUAAGUAAUUCAACAAUAAUCAUGAAGACCUAAAGACCAGUGACCCUUCCAGAAAUAGUCAGGACUGACAGGCCUCUGAGACUCUCACAUCAGUGCUUCCCAAACUGUAAUGUGCACACAAAUAGCCUUCAUGUCUUGUUAAAAUGCAAAUUCUGAUUCAGCAGGUCUGGGGUGGGACCCACGAUUCCAUGUUACUAAUAAGCUUCUGAUGAUCACACUUUGAGUAGUGUCUUAGUCAUUCUGGCAACUGAACAACAGAAAUUUAUUUCUCGAAGUUUUGAAAGCUGGAAUGUCCAAGAUCGAGGUGCCAGCAGAUUCAUUGUCUGAUGAGGUCUUGCUUCCUGGCUCUUCUUGCUGCGUCUGGGAGAAGGGACUACGCUGUCUCUGAGCCUUCUCUCCAGUUACCAAAUAGCCUCAAGAUCUUCCACUUGCUACAGGUUCUACUCCCCAAUGGGCCAUCAUAACUUUUCCAAAUAAAAUAGGAAAAUAUUCUGUGCCAGG